rnacentral:ncRNA from 1 species
GAAUUGGCGUUGACGAAGAGAAGUAGCUUAUCGCAUGCACAAUAGAGAGCUGAUGGUUGGUGUGAAUCAGUGUGCAACAUUAAGUGAAUGGACUUCAGAGCCCCAAACCGAACGUAUUUCUAGUAGGCUUUGGCGAGAGAUCCACUCGUUGCAAAGGGAUAGUGUUAAAUAAUUUUCAUUUGGCAUGAAAAGUGAGCUGUUUUAACAGCUAACAAAGGUGGUACCACGGGUUUCCUCGUCCUUUUA